AUAAAAUAUUAUGGCAUAUCAUUAAAAUUUACCCGAAAAAAAAAAAAUGAUUUGCCUAUGUACCUCUGGGCAAUAUAAGUUCUGAUUGAGAACGAAUGACUAUACAAAUAUAUAGUAGCUAUAUAUUGUGAUAACCUCAUGCAUUCAGGUAGAUGGGUACUAUACAUAAACGAUCACCGCAUUAUUGGCUAUUUACGAUAAUAAUUAACCGUUUUGUUUCGGCUACGUCGUAGAAUGAUUUCUCAAUCGCAUUCCCGCCUGGUCCCAAAAAUAGACAAUUAUUAUUUUGAAUAACGCGUUGAAUUAUAAUUCAGAUAUCUGUCGUUAUCUUUCGAUGGUUAAUAUUCAUAUGUUCCUUAUUUUCAUCUUAGAUGACAUCGAUAGCAACGGUGUUGUUCCUUUUGAAAUCUCUGAUGCCAUCUGAAAUGGUUUUAUCACUCACUUUGUUUCUGAGUAGAUUAUUGAGAUGUGAUGGACUAGAUAU